UUUCGUUUCCAUGUUUAUUAUUAAACCAGACAAUCUCAGCUACGUUGCUUUCCUUAUACUUCAAAUGGCUGACAACUUAAUCUCUUUAUGACAAUUAACUCGGUUUUUGUUAGCUUGACCCGACCGCCAUUGAUGAACCAUAACAAAGCUUAAGCUUUUUUUUAAGCUGUUGAGACUUAAAUUUGGGUUGAUUAAGCGAGUGGGUGCUUCUUAUUUUCGAGGAGUUGAACUGGGUUUUUCUCAGAAUUUCGAUUUGGGUCGCUUUGUUGUUGUUGUUGUUCGUUUUGAUAUGGAGUUAAACGCAGGGACGGCGGGAACCGGAUCUCGUGAAACGGCGUCGGAGAGGGAGGAAGUGGCGGCACUCGAAUCGCUCCAAUUUACCAACGAAAUCCGCCGUUUGAUGUUGGCUCCGGCGACCGACAAUGCGAGUUCCUUCACGACUCUGCUUGAACUUCCGGCUUCUCAAGCCGUUCAGCUCAUUCACUCCCCGGACUCGGUUAAGCUUAUCGCUGCUCAUGCUCCGGCUCCGAACGUUGAUGAUUUCAAAGGCAGCUUUCAUUUUCCUUUUGACAGCGGGUUAAUCGAACGAGCGGCAAGGUUCUCCGUGUUCGCCGGAGAUGGUAACAUCAACGACAAUAACAAGAACAACUCGCCUGAACCGACGUCGUACAAUUCAAGCGCGAAUCUCCAGAAACCGGUGAAGAGUGAGCCGGCGGAGACCGAGUCAUAUCAAGCCUUAGUUUCUGAUCCAACGGUGGAGAAGCGGAGUACCAAGAGAAAAGACCGAGAGAAGGUGAAAGGGUCGACAAAGAAAAGCAAAACUGCGGCCAAGUCGGGCUCCGACGAUGCCGAGAAACUGCCUUACGUUCACGUUAGAGCUCGCCGCGGACAAGCCACAGAUAGCCAUAGCUUAGCUGAGAGAGCUAGGAGAGAGAAGAUUAAUGCGCGUAUGAAGCUCCUACAGGAGUUGGUACCAGGAUGCAGUAAGAUUUCGGGCACAACAUUAGUGUUGGAUGAAAUCAUCAAUCAUGUGCAGUCCCUACAGCGUCAAGUGGAGUUCUUAUCAAUGAGACUCGCUGCAGUUAGCCCGAGAAUUGAUGUCAACCUCGAUAGUGUAUUCACAGCAGAAAGUGGAUCUUUAAUGGACGGAAACUUCACCGGGAUGGUCAUGCCUAUGAUGAGGCCCGAGGUUCAACUCAACGGAAACAGACAACAGUAUCCGCAGCAAUCGCAGUUUGAUGCAUUUCAACAGCCUGUUUGGGGGAGAGAAGAAGUCUGCCAUAAUUACAUGACUCCAGAGACCUCGCUUGUAAGCUACGACUCCUCGGGAAAUUCAGCGUCGUUGCACUCGAAUCAAUUGAAAAUGGAGCUAUGAAGUCCGAAAGAAGUUUGAAACGCCGAGUCAGAUGGAAACCUCCGAUUUCUCAGGACCGGAGAUGAGAAACGUCGGUAUGCUGUUAUUAUAUAUAUUAUACUAACUUCGAGUCAUUCAAUCGAAUACUUGGCUCGAGGUUGAUUGAUUCAUAUUGUAAAACCAUAGAACGAACUAUGAUGAUUCAAACUAUUAUGGAAAUCUGCCUUCUUUCGUUCUA